rnacentral:rRNA from 1 species
ACGGGUGAGUAGCGCGUGGGAACCUGCCCAGUAGUGGGGGAUAACCGAGGGAAACUUCGGCUAAUACCGCAUGCGCCCGGGGGUAACUCCGGGGAAAGAUUUAUCGCUAUUGGAGGGGCCCGCGUCGGAUUAGCUAGUUGGUGGGGUAACGGCCUACCAAGGCAUUGAUCCGUAGCUGGUCUGAGAGGAUGAUCAGCCACACUGGGACUGAGACACGGCCCAGACUCCUACGGGAGGCAGCAGUGGGGAAUAUUGGACAAUGGGCGCAAGCCUGAUCCAGCAAUGCCGCGUGAGUGAGGAAGGCCUUCGGGUUGUAAAGCUCUUUCGCACGCGACGAUGAUGACGGUAGCGUGAGAAGAAGCCCCGGCUAACUUCGUGCCAGCAGCCGCGGUAAUACGAAGGGGGCGAGCGUUGUUCGGAUUUACUGGGCGUAAAGGGCGCGCAGGCGGCUCAUUUUGUCAGGCGUGAAAGCCCCGGGCUUAACCUGGGAACGGCGCUUGGGACGGGUGAGCUAGAGAUCGGGAGAGGAGAGUGGAAUUCCCAGUGUAGAGGUGAAAUUCGUAGA